rfam:Gossypium hirsutum cultivar TM-1 chromosome 23, whole genome shotgun sequence
UAAUAAAAAUUUCAUCUAUUUUUACUUUUAAAAAUUAGGUUAACAAGAUAACCAGACAGAUAUACGUGACGUGUCACGUGUACCUCAUUUUGACGUAUAAGGAUUAAUUUUUAACUCUAAAAACAAAUGAAAAUUUUUAACA